CAACCCUCAAGCACUGCUUGGUGUUGGGCCCUGCCCGUUGCGGCCGGCCCUAAAACCAGUGGCGGCGCCGUCUGGCUCUAAGCGUAGUACAUCUCUCGCUCUAGGGUCCCGCGGUGGCUUGCCAGAACCCCUAAUUCUUAU
rnacentral:misc_RNA from 1 species